GAUAAAAAACCUGGAGUUGUUUCAUAUGAUUUCCAAACAAAUGGAUGAUCUAAUGACGUGGAGAAGGCAGAUUUUGUCUGGAACAUUGCCAGGAGUAUGAUGGAGUUUUUUUCAUUACACUGUAUACUUGUAUACCAUCUGGUAACCAUAGAAUAAUAUCAACCAGAAAAUCUACUCUCUGUUUUUAAUUAAGACUGAUUUUAAGACCGAUCAAAUUUCCAUCAAAUUCAGUCAUGUGACAUUUGGAUGUUUUGAUGGCAAAAAAUUUAAAGCAUUUAUUAAAAUGAAUGCGCAAUUUUGAAUCAACAGAAAUUGAAUAUGUUUGCAACUAUAAUUACCAUUUUUUUUAUAUCUGAAGGAUCGAAUCAAACAACUAAAACAAAAGGUCACUGCUGCAAUUGACUAUGGAAACAGGUAAAAUGGCUGCAAGUACUUAUAUUGCUACAUUUUGACAACACUCACCUUUCAGAAUAUUGAUGUUGAAACUUUUUAUCACUAGGCUUUUAUAAAAGAUACUAAUUAAAACGUAUACAUUGUGUUUCUAUUUUCAUUCACAUUUCAUUUUUAUUCAACUCUUUAUUCUAACUAAUUGUAGAGUUUUGGAUCUUGAUCUUGUUGUCCGUGAUGCAAAUGGGAAUAUUUUGGAUCCAGAUGUUACGGGCGUUAUAGAACUUUAUAGAAGA
rnacentral:lncRNA from 1 species